rnacentral:rRNA from 1 species
AGUGAACGCUGGCGGUAGGCCUAACACAUGCAAGUCGAACGGCAGCACAGUAAGAGCUUGCUCUUACGGGUGGCGAGUGGCGGACGGGUGAGGAAUACAUCGGAAUCUACUUUUUCGUGGGGGAUAACGUAGGGAAACUUACGCUAAUACCGCAUACGACCUACGGGUGAAAGCAGGGGAUCUUCGGACCUUGCGCGAUUGAAUGAGCCGAUGUCGGAUUAGCUAGUUGGCGGGGUAAAGGCCCACCAAGGCGACGAUCCGUAGCUGGUCUGAGAGGAUGAUCAGCCACACUGGAACUGAGACACGGUCCAGACUCCUACGGGAGGCAGCAGUGGGGAAUAUUGGACAAUGGGCGCAAGCCUGAUCCAGCCAUACCGCGAGGGUGAAGAAGGCCUUCGGGUUGUAAAGCCCUUUUGUUGGGAAAGAAAAGCAGCAGGUUAAUACCCCGCUGUUCUGACGGUACCCAAAGAAUAAGCACCGGUUAACUUCGUG